UGAGCUGCAAUUUGCGAGGAUGUAUAUCAACUCUGGCGAAUAAAGUUCUAGUUAAUUUAUGAUAAUCCAUUGAAAUAAACUAUGUGUCUUGACCAAAUCGCGUGCGACCCUUUCGCGGUAAUACGGGGAAGACUAGUGUUAUUCAUCUUUAAUAGGUUUACAGGGUACCUAAACGGUAAAUCCCUUCCUAAAAGGGUACUAAUUUACUAGAGUUUAAUAAKAGAGGGGGAGAACUGAUGAGUGGAGAGAUAAAAUUWGUUGAURASGUURGGARYAUGCAGAAAGAGGAAAGSAUCCUUUUAYAYAAAAAUKRYUGCUGAARRACRAAGRCUUUAUUGGUGAACAAGAUUAGAUACCCACGUAAAUGAAGCGGUCAAUGAUGAAUGUCAUAGGUAAGUUGCCGUUUUUUAUUAUUAAUCUAUAAGUGAAUGUGUAAGCAUUCCACCUCAAGAGUAAUGUGGCUUCGCAGAAACAGAAAUCACUAGACCGUUUCUGAAACCAGUAGUGAAGUAUGAUGGUUAAUUAGAUAAUCCGCCAAAGACCUCACCACAAGCUGUAUAUUAUUAUUUUUAAUAAUACAAGCGUUGCACGGCUGUCUUCAGUUAAUGUCGUGCGCUCAGGUUAGUUCCAUUAAAUUAACGUAAACCCUUUCUUUAUUUAUACUAUAAAGUAGAUCACCGCUAUAUUGGAUGUGAGGGCAGGGACUAAGUCAAGUCAUCAUGGCUUUAAUAUUGUAUACGAUUGCCGUGCCACAUUAUCCGAGACAAAGCGAUGCGAAAAAUGAAAUAUAACUAUCACCACAAAAGCCGCAAUUGU
rnacentral:rRNA from 1 species